GACGAACGCUGGCGGCGUGCUUAAUACAUGCAAGUCGAACGCUGAAGCUGGGUCCUUGCUCUGGGUGGGAGUGGGGCACACGGGUGAGAAGUAUGUGUAAAACCCGCGCUAGAGUCGGGGAAAAGCUGGGGAAACUGGGUAAAAUAGCGGAAAUGACAUGCUACUGCGUGGUGGUGUGUGGAAAGGGAUUUGCUGGUUUUGGAUGUGCUCCUGGCCUGUCAGCUUGUUGGGGGGGUAAUGGCGCACCACGGCGAAGCGGGGUAGCCGGCCUGAGAGGGUGACCCGCCACACUGGCCCUGGGGCACGGCCCGGACUCCAACGGGAGGCAUCGGUGGGGGAUAUUGCGCGAUGGGCGGAGGCCGGAUGCAACGACGCCGCGUCGGGGAUGACUGCCUUCGGGUUAUAAACCUCUUUCGGCUGGGAAGAAGCGAGUGUGACGGUACCUGCAGAGGAAGCGCCGGCUAACUACGUG
rnacentral:rRNA from 1 species